rnacentral:rRNA from 1 species
CCCUUAGAUGUUCUGGGCCGCACGCGUGCUACACUGAGUGGAUCAGCGGGUCAGGUUGCGCGAAAGCGUUUCCUAAUCUUUAAAUCCGCUCGUGAUGGGGAUUGACGGUUGCAAUUUUCUGUCAUGAACGAGGAAUACCUUGUAAGCGCGGGUCAUCAUCCCGCGCUGAAUACGUCCCUGCCCUUUGUACAUACCGCCCGUCGCUCCUACCGAUUGAGUGGUCCGGUGAGGCUUUGGGAUCUGAGCGGAAAGAGCGUUUCGCUGUUUCUGCUCGGAAAACUCAGUCGAACCUUAUCAUUUAGAGGAAGGAGAAGUCGUAACA